rnacentral:rRNA from 1 species
GACGAACGCUGGCGGCGUGCCUAAUACAUGCAAGUAGAACGCACAGUUUAUACCGUAGCUUGCUACACCAUAAACUGUGAGUUGCGAACGGGUGAGUAACGCGUAGGUAACCUGCCUGGUAGCGGGGGAUAACUAUUGGAAACGAUAGCUAAUACCGCAUAAUAUUAAUUAUUGCAUGAUAAUUGAUUGAAAGAUGCAAUUGCAUCACUACCAGAUGGACCUGCGUUGUAUUAGCUAGUAGGUGAGGUAGCGGCUCACCUAGGCGACGAUACAUAGCCGACCUGAGAGGGUGAUCGGCCACACUGGGACUGAGACACGGCCCAGACUCCUACGGGAGGCAGCAGUAGGGAAUCUUCGGCAAUGGACGAAAGUCUGACCGAGCAACGCCGCGUGAGUGAAGAAGGUUUUCGGAUCGUAAAGCUCUGUUGUAAGAGAAGAACGGGUGUGAGAGUGGAAAGUUCACACUGUGACGGUAUCUUACCAGAAAGGGACGGCUAACUACGUG